AGGAAAGCUUCGGUAAGAGCACACGGAGGAUGCCUAGGCGCUUAGGAGCCGAAGAAGGACGUGGCGAACAACGAUAUGCCCGUGAGUCACAGACUUUGAUCCGGGGAUGUCCGAAUGGGGGAACCCGGCCGCGGUUAUGCGCAGUCACUCACUUCUGAAUCCAUAGGAAGUGAAGAGGCAGACCAGGGGAACUGAAACAUCUGGCGCCCUGAGGAGAAGAAAAAACAAUCGUGAUUCCGUCAGUAGCGGCGAGCGAAAGCGGAGGAGCCCAAACCCAGAGAGCUUGCUCACUGUGGGUUGUGGGACACCUUAUACGGAGUUACAAAGGAGUUGAUUAGGCGAAGGAGGUCUGGAAAAAGGCCUGCCACAGAAGGUAACAGCCCUGUAGCUGAAAGUCUGUUUCCCUUUCCAAGGUGGAUCCUGAGUGUGUCAUGGGACACGGGAAACCUGUCGGAAUCCGGCAGGACCAUCUGCCAAGGCUAAAUACUCCCCAGCGACCAGAUAGUGUGAAGCAGUACCGUGAGGGAAAGGUGAAAAGCACUCCCGAGGGGAGGAAAGAGAACCUGAAACCGCACAUAAGAAGUCAGAGCCCUAUGAUUUUCUUCGGGAAAUCAGGGUGAUGGCGUGCCUUUUGUAGAAUGAAUCAAGAGUUAUUUGCAUGCAAGGUUAAGGUGAAGAGCCGGAGCUGCAGCGAAAGCGAGUCUGAACAGGGCAAAGAGAAAUAUAACAGCAAUACUUUGUAUUGUUUGGAAGUACAGGCGUAGACCCGAAACCGUGUGAUCUACCCCUGUCCAGGGUGAAGGUGAGGUAACACUCACUGAGGCCUCGAACCCACGAAUGUUGAAAAAUCGGGGAUGAGGUGGGGGUAGCGUAGAAAUUCCAAUCGAAUCCUGGAGAUAGCUGGUUCUCCUCGAAAUAGCUUUAGGGCUAGCCUCGGGUUAGAGUGAUGGAGGUAAAGCACUGAUUGGGGUGCGGGGCCUGCCAAGGGUUACCAAGUCUAGUCAAACUCUGAAUGCCAUCCACUAAGCUCCUGGGAGUCAGACAGUGAGUGCUAAGACUGCAUUGUCAAGAGGGAAACAGCCCAGAUCAUCAGCUAAGGUCCCCAAGUGUGUUAUGGGAAAGGAUGUGGAGUUGCACAGACAACCAGGAUGUUGGCUUAGAAGCAGCUAAUCAUUUAAAAGUGUAAUAGCUCACUGGUCGAGUGACUCUGCGCCGAAAAUGUAACGGGGGCUAACACACCACCGAAGCUAUGGGUCCUAAUUAAGGGCAGUAGGGGAUGCCCGGCCAUGGAAGGUUGACCGUGAGGACAGCUGGAGCGCUUGGAAGUGAGAAUGCCGGUAUGAGUAACGAAAAAGAUCAGUGAGAAUCUGAUCCGCCGAAAGCCUAAGGGUUCCUGAGGAAGGUUCGUCCGCUCAGGGUAAGUCGGGACCUAAGGCGAGGCCGGAAAGGCGUAGUCGAAGGACAACAGGCAGAAAUUCCUGUACCACCAAACACCGCCAGAGCGACGGGGUGACACAGUAGGGUAGGACGCAACACAGCGUUUGUCCAAGCAGUGAGGCUGGUGUGCAGGCAAAUCCGCACACGAUGAAAGCCGGGCUGUGACGGGGAGUGAAAAUAGCAGUAGCGAAGGUCUUGGAUCUCACACUGCUCUAAGAAAAGCCUCUAGCCAGGCAGGCGCCCGUACCGCAAACCUACAAAAGGAAGGAACAGGGCUCCCAAGGCGCGCGGAAGAACUCUCGUUAAGGAACUCGGCAAAUGACCCCGUAACUUAGGAGAAGGGGUGCCCCGGUAGAGUGAAUAGCUCGAGGGGGCCGCAGAAUAGGCCCAAGCGACUGUUUAGCAAAAACACAGGUCUAUGCGAAGCCGCAUAAGAAGCGGGCGAAGGGCUGACGCCUGCCCGGAAAAGGCUAAAAGGUUAAGGGGAGUGGUUAGGGCUUAAGGCCCGGCUAUGAACCGAAGCCCCAGUAAACGGCGGCCGUAACUAUAACGGUCCUAAGGUAGCGAAAUUCCUGUUUGUACCCCACCAAAAAAUAAAUUACGGUAAUGACGGGGCGCUGUCUCAACGAGAUCCGGUGAAAUUUUAAUACCUGUGAAGAUGCAUUACCGCGACAAGACGGAAAGAAUCCCAUGGAGCUUUACUUCAGCUUGAUAUUGACUCGGCACGAUCUGUACAGGAUAGGUGGGACGGGACAGCCGGAGCGCCAGCUUCGGUGGAGGCGCAGCGUUGGGAUACCACUCUGAUCGUAUCGGAGUUCUAACCCGGGACCGUGAACCGGUUCGUGAUGAAAAUGCGGCAGUUUGACUGGGGCGGUCGCCUCCUAAAGAGUAACGGAGGCGCCCCAAGGUUCCCUCAGAAUGGUUGAAAUCAUUCGAAGAGUGCAAAGGCAAGAAGGGAGCUUGACUGCGAGACCUACAAGUCGAGCAGGGACGAAAGUCGGGCCAGUGAUCCGGUGGUACCGCAGCGGAAGGGUCAUCGCCAACGGAUAAAAGCUACCCUGGGGAUACCAGGCUUAUUUCCAAGAGUCCACAUCGACGGGGAGGUUUGGCACCUCGAUGUCGGCUCAUCGCAUCCGGGGCUUAAGUAGGUCCCAAGGGUUGGGGUUGCCCGCUCCAUUAGUUGUACGCGAGCUGGGUUCAGAACGUCGUGAGACAGUUCGGUCCCUAUCUGUCGUGGGCGCAGGAAAUUUGAGAGGAGCUGUCCUUAGUACGAGAGGACCGGGAUGGACGUACCGCUGGUGUACCAGUUGCUCCCGCCAGGAGCACAGCUGGGUAGCUAUGUACGGAAGGAUAAGCGCUUCGAAAGCAUCUAAGCGUGAAGCCCGCCUCAAGAUGAGAUUUCCCAAGUAGUAAGACCCCGGCGACGACGAUAGGUUGGGGGUGGCGCAGCAAUGCGUGGAGCUGACCAAUACUAAUCGGUCGAGGGCUUAUCCUAA
rnacentral:rRNA from 1 species